rnacentral:rRNA from 1 species
UGCCAAGUUAAUAAGGGCGUACGGUGGAUGCCUAGGCGCUAGGAGCCGACGAAGGACGCGGUAGGCUGCGAAAAUCCCCGGGAAGGAGCCAAACAUCCAUUGAUCCGGGGGUGUCCGAAUGGGGAAACCCACCAGUGGUCAUGCACUGGUACCCAGGUCUGAACACAUAGGGCCUGUGGAGGGAACCGGGUGAAUUGAAACAUCUAAGUAACCCGAGGAAGAGAAAUCAAAUUCGAGAGUCCCUUAGUAGCGGCGAGCGAAACGGGAUCAGCCCAAACCUCUGUGGUGUUAAAGCCUGGUGGCGUUGCCACAGGGGUGUUGUGGGACCCAUCUGAACCGGCACCAGACGGUUCAGGGAGUUACAAAGUCAGCGGUUAGCCGAAGUUUCUGGAAAGUAAAGCCACAGAAGGUAAUAGCCCUGUAGGCGAAAACCGACUGACCUCCCGAUGGUGUUCCCAAGUAACACGGAGCCCGAGAAAUUCCGUGUGAAUCUGCGGGGCCCACCCCGUAAGGCUAACUACUUCCUAGCGACCGAUAGUGAACCAGUACCGUGAGGGAAAGGUGAAAAGUACCCCGGGAGGGGAGUGAAAUAGUACCUGAAACCGUGCGCUUACAAGCAGUCAGAGCGUCGUCAUGACUUCGGUCAUGGCCGUGAUGGCGUGCCUUUUGAAGAAUGAGCCGGCGAGUUACCGAUGUGUGGCGAGGUUAAGGAGAGAUCCGUAGCCGUAGCGAAAGCGAGUCUUAAUAGGGCGCCCUUAGUCGCAUGUCGUAGACCCGAAGCCGGGUGAUCUAUCCAUGGGCAGGCUGAAGCGAAGGUAAGACUUCGUGGAGGGCCGAACCCACCAGGGUUGAAAACCUGGGGGAUGACCUGUGGAUAGGGGUGAAAGGCCAAUCAAACCCGGUGAUAGCUGGUUCUCCCCGAAAUGCAUUUAGGUGCAGCGUCACGUGUUCAGUAUCGGUGGUAGAGCACUGGAUGGACUAGGGGCCCAACAAGGUUACCGAAUUCAGCCAAACUCCGAAUGCCGAUACUCCAGAACGUGGCAGUGAGACUGCGGGGGAUAAGCUCCGUAGUCGAGAGGGAAACAGCCCAGAUCGCCAGCUAAGGUCCCUAAAUCUUCGCUAAGUGGGAAAGGAUGUGGAGUUGCAUAGACAGCCAGGAGGUUGGCUUAGAAGCAGCCACCCUUUAAAGAGUGCGUAACAGCUCACUGGUCGAGUGAUUCGGCGCCGACAAUGUAGCGGGGCUAAGCGAAGUACCGAAGCUGCGGGAUUGUUCACUUUCGAGUGAAUGAUCGGUAGGGGAGCGUUGUAACAACUGCGAAGGUGUUCUGUAAGGAAUGCUGGAGUGGUUACAAGUGCGAAUGCCGGCAUGAGUAGCGAAAUGGAAGCGAGAAACUUCCACUCCGUAUGUCCAAGGGUUCCUGGGGAAGGCUAAUCCGCCCAGGGUAAGUCGGGACCUAAGCCGAGGCCGAGAGGCGUAGGCGAUGGACAACUGGUUGAUAUUCCAGUACCACCACACGCGCGCCCACUCCGAAUCAUCUUGCUAAGGGAACCCUUCGGGGCUACCGACCCAGGUGUUCUAGGAGAACGAAGGGGUGACGGAGGAGGGUAGUCAGACCCACGCGUUGGUCGACGUGGGGUAAGCAGGUAGGAGGAUCCCUUAGGCAAAUCCGGGGGAUCAUUAACUCUGAGACGCGAUGCCGACCCGAUUGAGGGGAAGCUGAUGAGCCCAUGCUCCCGAGAAAAGCCUCUAGUGAGUUCGUGUGGUGCCCGUACCCCAAACCGACUCAGGUGGACAGGUAGAGCAUACCGAGGAGAUCGAGAGAACUCUGGUUAAGGAACUCGGCAAAUUGGACGCGUAACUUCGGGAUAAGCGUCGCUUCUGGUGGUGUAGGGACUUGCUCCCGAAGCUGCUGGGAGUUGCAAAAACCAGGCCCAAGCGACUGUUUACUAAAAACACAGGAGCGUGCUAAGACGUAAGUCGCCGUAUACGCUCUGACGCCUGCCCGGUGCCGGAAGGUUAAGGGGAAGGGUUAACUGGGCUUCGGCCCAGUGAAGCUCUGAACCUAAGCCCCGGUAAACGGCGGCGGUAACUAUAACCGUCCUAAGGUAGCGAAAUUCCUUGUCGGGUAAGUUCCGACCUGCACGAAUGGCGUAACGACUUGGGCACUGUCUCAACCAGAGACUCGGCGAAAUUGCAAUACGAGUAAAGAUGCUCGUUACCCGCGGAAGGACGGAAAGACCCUAGGACCUUUACUACAGCUUGAUAUUGGAGUUCGGGGCAGUUUGCGUAGGAUAGGCGGGAGGCUUUGAAGCGGGGACUCCGGUCCUCGUGGAGCCAUCCUUGAAAUACCGCCCUGAUUGUCUUGAGCUUCUAACCCGGGUCCGUUAUCCGGAUCGGGGACAGUGUCAGGUGGGUAGUUUCACUGGGGCGGUGACCUCCCAAAAUGUAACGGAGGUGUUCAAAGGUUCCCUCAUCCUGGUCGGCCAUCAGGAGUUGAGUGCAAUCGCACAAGGGAGCUUGACUGCGAGAGAGACAUCUCGAGCAGGUACGAAAGUAGGAGAUAGUGAUCCGGCGGCUCCUCGUGGUAGGGCCGUCGCUCAUCGGCUAAAAGGUACCCUAGGGAUAACAGGCUGAUCGUUCCCAAGAGUCCAUAUCGACGGAACGGUUUGGCACCUCGAUGUCGGCUCGUCGCAUCCUGGGGCUGGAGCAGGUCCCAAGGGUUGGGCUGUUCGCCCAUUAAAGCGGCACGCGAGCUGGGUUUAGAACGUCAACUUCCAGGCGUCCCCACCGAGUAAUCGGUGGGUGCACAUCGGCUUAUAUCGGUGAAACCCUAACUGUCACACCUUCUCAAUAGGUUGUGAUGAUGAGGGCAAUGCCGAGGGAAGGCCAUUCAACAAAGACAGCGACAUCGGAUCUUUCCUACCUUGCGGGAUUCUUGGACGGAGAUGGAAGCAUCCAUUUCCAACUCGUCCGACAGAAGGAGUAUCGCUUCGGGUUCUACAUCCGAGCGACCAUGUCUCUUUCUCAGUCAACCCCCGAUCGUUACGGGCUGGAGCAUCUUCAGCGUUUGAUCGGAGGGGGGUACAUAAGAGAUCGAGGCACCGGCAUGAGUGAUCUAGUGCUCACAAGCCGCCCUUUGUUGGAAGAGGUCCUGACCGGAAUCAAGCCUUACGUCAUCUUCAAGAGGCGUCAGGUCGAAAGAGGGCUGGAGUUACUCAGCCGGCUCCGGAGAGGAAUGAGUCCAGAAGAAUUCCUAGAGGUGGCGAAAGCAGUCGACGACUUUGCAUCCCUAAACCAUUCGAAAACGAAGCGGAUCUCCGCCGUGGAUGUUGAACAGCAUCUACGUGGCACGGGAAGACUGGCCCCCGUAUCGACUUCUCUUCCAGUUCAGGAGAGAGAUGGGUUCUGCAACGGCGCAAGCCGGAAUCUAUGGAACCCAUAACACGCCGGCCCCUCGAAAGAGGGUGAAGACAUAGUCAGUGCCUGCAGAGAUGCAGGACUCACAUGCGUGAGACAGUUCGGUCCCUAUCCUCCGCGGGCGUAAGAGAUUUGAGAGGAGCUGUCCCUAGUACGAGAGGACCGGGACGGACGCACCUCUAGUGUGACAGUUGUUCUGCCAAGGGCAUGCUGUUUAGCUACGUGCGGAUCGGAUAAGCGCUGAAAGCAUCUAAGUGCGAAGCCGACCUCAAGAUGAGAUCUCUCACCGGGUUAACCGGGUAAGGCCCCUUGCUAGACGACAAGGUUGAUAGGCCGGAGCUGUAAGCACAGCAAUGUGUUCAGGCGACCGGUACUAAUAGGCCGAGGACUUGGUUUU